UUUAUUUUUUCUUCUCAAUACUAUUAUUGCCAAAAAUAUGAGUUUGUAUAUUAUUAUACUGACUUCUAAAUUGUUAAGUUUUCAUUACUUUCUCACACAUUAAGAAUGAAUUUCAUAUAAAGUGGUGAGACCUACAUGAGUUUUACUCAAUAAAAAAGUGAAUGUUAGAGAGAUUGUUCAUAAAGAUCUAAUGCUUGGUAACUUGUAAGUAAAGAUUCUAAAAUAUAACAAAACUCUGCAAAAAAAAGAAGAAGAAGAUUAUAUUCUUAAACCUUAUGAUCUCUUUGAUUCAAUGGAUGAGAUUGAUGAAAUUUUAUGUACAUGUUUGAUUUGAUAAGGGGAGGUAAUAGAUUUUAAUAGAUAAGUGUAGAUAUUUUUUUUAAAAUAUUUAAUGCUAUGUUAAACAAAAUGAUAUUUAAUUAAAAUUUUGAAUAAACA
rnacentral:lncRNA from 1 species